AGAGUUUGAUCAUGGCUCAGAUUGAACGCUGGCGGCAUGCCUUACACAUGCAAGUCGAACGGCAGCACGAGAGCUUGCUCUUGGUGGCGAGUGGCGAACGGGUGAGUAAUAUAUCGGAACGUACCCUAGAGUGGGGGAUAACGUAGCGAAAGUUACGCUAAUACCGCAUACGAUCUACGGAUGAAAGUGGGGGAUCGCAAGACCUCAUGCUCAUGGAGCGGCCGAUAUCUGAUUAGCUAGUUGGUGGGGUAAAAGCUCACCAAGGCGACGAUCAGUAGCUGGUCUGAGAGGACGACCAGCCACACUGGAACUGAGACACGGUCCAGACUCCUACGGGAGGCAGCAGUGGGGAAUUUUGGACAAUGGGCGCAAGCCUGAUCCAGCAAUGCCGCGUGAGUGAAGAAGGCCUUCGGGUUGUAAAGCUCUUUUGUCAGGGAAGAAACGGUGGACUCUAAUACAGAUCACUAAUGACGGUACCUGAAGAAUAAGCACCGGCUAACUACGUGCCAGCAGCCGCGGUAAUACGUAGGGUGCAAGCGUUAAUCGGAAUUACUGGGCGUAAAGCGUGCGCAGGCGGUUGUGCAAGACAGAUGUGAAAUCCCCGGGCUCAACCUGGGAAUUGCAUUUGUGACUGCACGGCUAGAGUGUGUCAGAGGGGGGUAGAAUUCCACGUGUAGCAGUGAAGUGCGUAGAGAUGUGGAGGAAUACCGAUGGCGAAGGCAGCCCCCUGGGAUAACACUGACGCUCAUGCACGAAAGCGUGGGGAGCAAACAGGAUUAGAUACCCUGGUAGUCCACGCCCUAAACGAUGUCUACUAGUUGUCGGGUCUUAAUUGACUUGGUAACGCAGCUAACGCGUGAAGUAGACCGCCUGGGGAGUACGGUCGCAAGAUUAAAACUCAAAGGAAUUGACGGGGACCCGCACAAGCGGUGGAUGAUGUGGAUUAAUUCGAUGCAACGCGAAAAACCUUACCUACCCUUGACAUGUCUGGAAUCCUUGAGAGAUCAGGGAGUGCUCGAAAGAGAAUCAGAACACAGGUGCUGCAUGGCUGUCGUCAGCUCGUGUCGUGAGAUGUUGGGUUAAGUCCCGCAACGAGCGCAACCCUUGUCAUUAGUUGCUACGAAAGGGCACUCUAAUGAGACUGCCGGUGACAAACCGGAGGAAGGUGGGGAUGACGUCAAGUCCUCAUGGCCCUUAUGGGUAGGGCUUCACACGUCAUACAAUGGUACAUACAGAGGGCCGCCAACCCGCGAGGGGGAGCUAAUCCCAGAAAGUGUAUCGUAGUCCGGAUUGUAGUCUGCAACUCGACUACAUGAAGUUGGAAUCGCUAGUAAUCGCGGAUCAGCAUGUCGCGGUGAAUACGUUCCCGGGUCUUGUACACACCGCCCGUCACACCAUGGGAGCGGGUUUCACCAGAAGUGGGUAGCCUAACCGCAAGGAGGGCGCUCACCACGGUGGGAUUCGUGACUGGGGUGAAGUCGUAACAAGGUA
rnacentral:rRNA from 1 species